CAGAGGCCUCAUGUAGGCCCCUGUGAAGCCUGAACUCCAGUAGGGCCCAAGCCAGCCAGGAAGGAGGAGGCAGCCAGAGUGGCCAUCACUGUUCUCUGCAGCAGAAGACCCCUUGCUGCCAGGUUUGGACUCCCUGCCACUGGAAAUCCUCAAAACAAUAAGCAUGAACAUUUUGUAGAAAUGUUUCUUUGGAUUAGUUUUUAAUAUGGGGGCUAAGCAGGUUUGGUGUAAUUUUAAUUUGCUAUAGGAUGAAAUACCUGAUGAUCUAAUGGUAUUUUAUCCAAGUUGUUUUUGUCAUGGAAGAGUAGAAAUAUAAUAAACAAAAUUAGCAAGAAGACUGGCCAGAAUCUCUUUUCUUUUUAGGCUCCCACAAAGGUGACUGGAUGACCCAGAGUACUAUUUUUGAAUGUGGGUUAAAGGGAUUGGGGGGCGUGACCUAGGAGCUGACAAGUGCAGACAAUAAUAACCACUGCAAAUGAUAGGGAAGAAGGAAGAUGGGGGGUAGGGAUAGUGGCCCAUCAGGAAACUGUUCUAAGCUGGCUAAAUGGAUUAUCACUCUAAGCAUCCAAGCCUCAGAAAAUUCAGUGAGGCCAGUGCUACUGGUGGAAGACAUCAAAGGUCAAACAGGGUCCAGGAAAGAGAGCAGGAAGGGGUCAUAAUGUUACAGGCCAGCUCAAGGUGGGGAUGAAAAAUGGGGCUCCUCUUCACCACCAUCAUGAACCUCUCUGAACUCUGUGCAGAGAAAGAGAGGGCUGGAGAUGAGGCUGGGGCACACUGUGGAAAAAUCAGAAUGAUUUGUAUUAUCUCCCCACCUCUCAAGGGCUUAGAAAGAUUUUAAUGGACAUUUCUUAUUUUGAUAGUUACAUGGUAAUGCUCAAGACCUGCAGAUCCAGAGGUGACUGGUGUUUUGAUCCAUAAGCAACACUCAAUGGGGCUAUUCUCACAAUCGGGAAAAACUGGGCUAGGAAAGCCUAGCCUGAUUUUUCCUGAUUGUGGGAACCAACGGGCCUGGCUGCGAGCCCAGUGGUUUCUAGGUGGAUAACCCACCUAAGUGCCCCUGCCCUUAGCGAGCACUCCGCAAAACCGGGCUCUCUGAUCGUGAGUAGCUGCGGUGCAGCUCCGCGCCACGGCUACUCAUGAGUAGACCCCCGACCGGGAGGCGAAACGCCGCCUCCCAGCUCUGGGGGUCUCCCCAGUAUGCCCUGCACGCUCACACAGGGCAUACUGAGGCUUCCGGGGCUCCCCAGCCCCCGCUGGCUCCGUCACAGAGCUGGCAAUUGUGUGGGCGGCCAAUACGGCAGCCCAGGGCUUUUGCAGAGAUCGUCUGCGGGGACAGCAGGCUUGGCCCGCUCACCCUGCAGUUUCAGCAAAAGCGGGUCUCACGGACCACAAGACCCGCCUCAAUGCCUCCUUAGGCCUCUAUAUCCCUUCACAUCCAGAGCAGAGAGCCCAGCCAGUUCUUAAACCCUGUCUGGCGUGUUUCAUUCAAACCCUCCCAGCUCCUUGGCUCCUAAAUUCCCUAGGGUUCCUUCAUUAUGAUUAAGAAUAUUUAUACACCAUUUUUCAACACACACACAAAAGCUCACAAAGCAGUUUACAUAGCACAAGGAAUGAAAAGAUGGUCCUGCCAAUAGCUGCCCAAGAAAGAAACUUUCACUAACACAUAUUCUUGGGGGGUGGGGAGGCUCAGAAGUAAGUAAAGACAUAACUGAAGCGGCUGCAAAAACAAAACAAAAAAUAAACCCUAGGUUAUCAUCUCUGUGCCAAAGCUGCUGUUUCUCCUGAGAAACUGACUUGGCCAGUUGCUACACAGUUUACGAUGAGGAUGUACUCUGGCGCCUUCCAGCAUGAUGGUGUUGUGAAGAGAAAAGGAAAUUAAAGUGCCUCAUACUUCCUGUUCCCUCACAACUCUGUAUUGUUCAAAACAGAAUUUUUGCCUACACACACACACACACACACACACAGAGAGAAAUGCACGAGCAUCUCUUGGCUUGAGGUCAGUGGGGAGAGAAUGUGAAAAUUCUAUUUUGGGCAAUAUGAAGAUGUGGGGGAACAGGAUGUAUUCAACAACAUCAUCACAUAAGAAGUAGAACUCUUGAGUAAUAACAGGAACAGUUCACCCUGAGCUGAUGCUACUUGCCCAAGGAAUUGAGGAUGCAUGCACAACAGGACUCCUUUUUUAUUCCAGGUUAAUAAAAUAGACAAUAAUGACCGCAGCUUUGGUGCCAUGCUUCGUAAACUAAGGCUGCACACUCAAUAAUACUAUGAAUUAGUUACCUCUUAGUAUCACCAUCAGGGUGGUUACUGAAUGGUAAAAGAGUAGAUUCUCUUGUCCCCUUGUUAAAAGAGGAAUAAUCACAGACACACAGUAGUUUAUUUAUAGAAAUGGAGGUUCUGGGGGUCCAGCCACACUUGCCAAACUUGAAAACUGCCUCCUAAGCCCAGAUGUGUGAGCAAACUGUUGUCACUCAGAGGGUGAAGCACAGAUUCUGUAUCCGUUCGGAGCUCUCUCUUUUUUUCUCUAUUCGUUCCAGGACUCAGACCUGACUCCACUGAAGCCCAGCCCUAAACCACAGAAUGUAAACUUUAGAGACAAGCCAAGAGUAGACCUACCAGCAUUUGGUGUGCUGAGGGAGGGAAUGGUUCAAGCCGCCUACUACAGCUGGCUCUUUUGACUUGCUGAGAAGGAACUCCUGAAGUUUCAGCUUCACUUCAGUGCUGGCAAUGGCACCUGGGGAAGAUUCAGAAAAAUACUGGUGGAAAACAUACAGGCUGAACCAGUGGCAGAAAGCAUGCUUUUCUGACAUAGGGAAGAGCACUGUACAUGCCUACAGAUGCCUGAACAGAUGUACUGUACCCAAAAGGAAGAAGACCCUGAAUUUAAGAUGCCCCUACCCCUGGCAAAAUUCUAGCAUCAAAGAACUUGGGGAAAACCUAGUCUUGGAUUCAGAUAAAUACAGUACAGAUGUUUAGGUGAAUGACUUUUCCAUGUGCUCACUUCAAAAGUGAACCUGGGCACAGGCCCCCUCAAAUGCAAGGACCAAUAGGAAGUGUACUACCGUAUGUGUGUUGAACAUAACAUGUGAAUAACCAUAUACAGAUUGUACAUGCUUUGAAUGUAAUAUUUGAAUGUGGCUAAGGAUUCCAGAAAAGUAUCCCACUUCCUUAUCCUGCCCUUCACUCACUCACACAAGAGCAAGCAUUUUCCUCUCUUACUAAGAGAGAGACAAACACAAAUACUGUCAACACAGUGGUUAAUGUAUAGAAAAUGAUGGUUCUGGGGCUCUAGUCACACCUCUGAACUUGAAGGUCUGCCUCCUAGAGCACCGCAUGUGUCCCCAUGGCAACAACAACUUCCAUCAUACCAUUUCCCACUAUGCAAUGCUUCACCAGUGCACAGUAUUCUGGGAUACCUGCCUCCCCCAUCCUCACCCACCAGGCUACUCUACAGUUUGUAAUCCACUCCACCUCAAUCAAGCGCGCGUACACACACACACCCCUUCUCCUCGCUACUCUUGGAAGAAGACACAGUGGCUGUGUUAUCAAAGUGCCUCUGGAAAGCUCAGUUGUUGUGCUAUGUUUAAUUACCGUAUUUAUUCUUACCAGUUUUGUUUAUUAGGGGGUGAAGAUUACAUCAAAUACAAUACUCUAUAAAGUCCAAGCCAAACGUGAUGGUGCCUUCUCAUAUGAUGUACUAUACGAACUAGCCAUAAUUAGAAAAAAUAUCACAGACAAAGCACCAUUCAUAAUCAGAGAGGCAAUAUCUAUAUUAUAAAAUUCAGCAGCAAAGCUUUCAGGCAAUCGCAGCUCCACCCAAAUGAGCCUUGGGAACUGCAGAUUUGUAAGGCUCCUGAAAAUUUGCUCAAAAAGGUCCCCAACCCUCUCACAAAACUCCAUGGGGUUUGUGGAGAGGAGCUGCUUAUUUAAACCUUCACGGAAUGGUCCCCAAGAUACAUGGAGGUGUGGGGGCUAAGCCCAGAAGCUAAAUGAGAGUUUUAGGGGGGGGUGUAGGGUGUGUGUGUGUGUGCGUGCGCACAUGCGCUCAUUACAGCAAUUCUAAUAACACUUAAAUUUUGUUCUUAAUUUUCUUUCAUUGUAAGUUGCUUAGGGUUUCCACAAUAUAGAUAAAAACCUGUACAAUAUGUUUAAAAACAAACAUGACUUCAGUUUCUGCUAUUCCAAAAAGCUAACACUCCAGCCCCCUGCCACCCUCAAGCCCAAGUCCUCAGGUCAGGGAUGAGGUAGCCAUCUACAUACAUUUAACCCAAUAAAAACAAUGUAUUACUCUC